rnacentral:misc_RNA from 1 species
AUGGAGCACAGGUCCCCCAAUGGAGGAG